UACAGAGGGGCCGAGCGUUAGGCGGAAUCACUGGGCUUAAAGCGUGUGUAGGCGGAUGGGUAAGUACCUUGUGAAAUCCCACGGCUCAACCGUGGAACUGCUCGGUAUACUGCUCGUCUUGAGCCAACUAGGGGCGACCGGAACAAACGGUGGAGCGGUGAAAUGCGUAGAUAUCGUUUGGAACGCCGAUGGUGAAAACAGGUCGCUGGGGUUGUGCUGACGCUGAGACACGAAAGCCAGGGGAGCGAACGGG
rnacentral:rRNA from 1 species